rnacentral:rRNA from 1 species
AUUGAACGCUGGCGGCACGCCUUACACAUGCAAGUCGAACGGCAGCACGGGAGCAAUCCUGGUGGCGAGUGGCGAACGGGUGAGUAAUAUAUCGGAACGUGCCCGGUCGUGGGGGAUAACGUAGCGAAAGCUACGCUAAUACCGCAUACGAUCUACGGAUGAAAGCGGGGGAUCGCAAGACCUCGCGCGAUUGGAGCGGCCGAUAUCAGAUUAGGUAGUUGGUGAGGUAAAGGCUCACCAAGCCGACGAUCUGUAGCUGGUCUGAGAGGACGACCAGCCACACUGGGACUGAGACACGGCCCAGACUCCUACGGGAGGCAGCAGUGGGAAUUUUGGACAAUGGGCGCAAGCCUGAUCCAGCAAUGCCGCGUGCAGGAUGAAGGCCUUC